UACGUAGGGUGCAAGCGUUAAUCGGAAUUACUGGGCGUAAAGCGUGCGCAGGCGGCUUUGCAAGACAGAUGUGAAAUCCCCGGGCUUAACCUGGGAACUGCAUUUGUGACUGCAUGGCUGGAGUGCGGCAGAGGGGGAUGGAAUUCCGCGUGUAGCAGUGAAAUGCGUAGAGAUCUGGAGGAACACCGAUGGCGAAGGCAGCCCCCUGGGAUAACACUGACGCUCAUGCACGAAAGCGUGGGGAGCAAACAGG
rnacentral:rRNA from 1 species